AGGUGUGGCCUCACCACUCCCCACUGGAGGGAAGCAUCACUUCUCUCCAUCUUGUUGGCAACACUUGCUGGUGUAACCCAGGGCAAUUUUGGCUUUUUUUGCUUUAAGGGCACAUUGCUGUCUCAUGUUCAGCUCGGUAUUUUGAUUUUCCUCACCUGAUACCUGCACACUCAAACAGUGUCAUUGUUCCAUCUGAGUCACAUAUCCCUGCUUCUCCCUCUUGCCUGUUUUAUUUUCGUGUUGAAGUCACCAGGAUCAUCUUGUCCAUCCGUGCAGGAUCCAUGCUGCUGGUUCUCCUGUCAGGACAGACCAAGGCUUGGAGGAUUAAUCCCAGGUCUCCCUUCCCCCCCAGGACUGUCUGCCAUGGGAUUCUCUCAGGCAGAUCCUGCAGGAAAAUCCUCUCCUCAUGUGAAAUCCUUUUUUGCUUUGUCUGCUUUUUGCCUUGUUUCCUUCUUGCAGGAUCUUGAACUCCCUCAUCUCGUGGUCACUGCAGCAGAGUUGCCCCCGACCUUCAGCCCUUCCUUGUUUGUGAGUGUGGGCUCCAUCUUCCCGUGUUGACUCCUGGAUACUCAGGGAAGGAGACUGGCUCACACUUCUCCUUUUCUUCAAUGUUUCUGCCAUCUCUGCAUUUACACUCCCAGCCCUAUACCUCAGUGCAUUAGAACUGCCUGUGGUGAGGACUGCCCUGGCCUGCUGCCCAAAAAUAAUAUUCCAUCAUUUCCUGGUGGGGAAAAAACCUCCUGAAGACUUGUGGCCAUUUGUCCUCACAUCUAUUUGCAGCUCCUUAUUUCCCUUGAGAAGCAUCCAAGAGCAUUUGGAAGUUGAAUUUUCCGAUGUCCUCACUGAUCUCCAGCCCCCUCUGUUUCUUGGAAGGACGAGCCUAUGAGGACAAAUCUCCCACGUUGUUUCAUCCCAUUAUUCACUACUCUGUGUCCAUUUGAUUUCUACCCAUCACACCACGUUCUUUAUCUCCUCCUUUUUCUGAGCUUACUUGGAGAUCUGCCCCCUGUAACACUUAGAGAUGCAGACACAUGAAAAUGGGCACUUUGUCCUGUCACAGAUUCUGUUGAAGAGCAGCUUCAGCUAUCAGGUUAUCAUUAGGUGAUGUGCUGACAAACACAUCCCUGAGGGAGAGGAUUGUGAGCUGCUGGAGGAAAAAUGAUCAAGAUUGGCCUGCCAAAUAUAUGAAUUCCCCUUCAACACAUCCAGACAUGGAUUUUGAUCAGUUUGGACUGAAUGCAUUUGCAACUUGCGAUAUCUCCAUUAAGAGAUUUCAAAUGAAGUUUUAAUCCUCUUUCAUUGAUAUUUCCCAUUAGUGAAAAAACCAAAACCUUCUAGGCCUUUUCAAGAUGCCUUUUCUGUGUGCUGAAUGGGAGAACCAUUUUAUCUGAUGGAAUUUCCAUUUCCCUGAUGGUGAGCAAUGGGUGCUUUCUCUGAGAACAGACUCUGCAGAGAUCCAGAGCCCAAACAUUCUUGAACCUGGUGUUGUUUGGGUGCCAGGCAAAGAAAGCAUUGUAGUAACUCUUUCCUGGCUCGUGGUGGUUUUGCCUGGAAUAAUUCCCCGUGUAACAAUGUCAAGGAGAAUGCCUGUGAAAGGUAAGUUAUUUUGACAGCAUGGCUCCACAGCAGUGAUCUGUCCUAGUGAACAGAACCAGGGCUCCUGAUGGUG